rnacentral:rRNA from 1 species
AGUGAACGCUGGCGGUAGGCCUAACACAUGCAAGUCGAACGGCAGCACAGUAAGAGCUUGCUCUUACGGGUGGCGAGUGGCGGACGGGUGAGGAAUACAUCGGAAUCUACUUUUUCGUGGGGGAUAACGUAGGGAAACUUACGCUAAUACCGCAUACGACCUACGGGUGAAAGCAGGGGAUCUUCGGACCUUGCGCGAUUGAAUGAGCCGAUGUCGGAUUAGCUAGUUGGCGGGGUAAAGGCCCACCAAGGCGACGAUCCGUAGCUGGUCUGGGAGGAUGGUCAGCCACACUGGAACUGAGCCACGGUCCAGACUCCUACGGGAGGCAGCAGUGGGGAAUAUUGGACAAUGGGCGCAAGCCUGAUCCAGCCAUACCGCGUGGGUGAAGAAGGCCUUCGGGUUGUAAAGCCCUUUUGUUGGGAAAGAAAAGCAGCAGGUUAAUACCCCGCUGUUCUGACGGUACCCAAAGAAUAAGCACCGGCUAACUUCGUG